AGAGAGAAAUCUGAGAGAGUCCAUGUCAGAUUUUUCGUGACAUCGUCGAAAUUGCCCAUACAAAUUCUCAGUCCGGAUCUACAUAAGUUGUUUUCAGCCUUAAGAAAUUGACUAAUUACAAUCGAAUGCUAGGAGAAUAAUUGAUUGUGAUUCAUCCGUUCCUUAUGGCUUAAGAUUUAAAAAUCUAUUGUAGAUCCGUGAUCAAACGCAUGGUUAAUCAAUAUGCUGAGGCGUGUUCGUUGGAUUACCUGAGAGUUCUCCGAGUGUUAUGUUAUCCUUGUUUAACAUUUGGUAAAAUCGCUGAAGAGUAUAGUAUUUAGAAUGAAAUAUAUUAUUUUUAUAAGAAAGAAUGCGGAAACUUGAAAGAAGAAUAGAGAGAAGAUUGUUGCGCGAUGCGCAAAAUCCAUUUGAACAACAAGAAUUUAUUGUACAGUUCAGACUAAACCAAGUUUUGAUCAUGCAAAUUGUUAAUAAUUUAAGACAAGAUUUAGAAAAACAACGUAUAACUGGUCUCUAGAAAUUCAAGUUUUGGUUGCAAUUGAUUUUUUUGCUCAUGGUUCUUAUCAAAGACCAGCUGGAAACCAAUGCGAAUUAGUAAGUCAGCCAACUACUAGCCGUUGCAUACGUAAAGUGCAUAAUAAAUACAUAAUUAAUAAAUAUACAUUUAUUAUGCCAAUGGAUAAAAUUUUCCAUGAUGCCACAUGAAAAGACUACUGCAAUAGAACAAAUUUGCACUAGCUGCACAGAUAUUUCCUCGAGCUGUUGGAGCUACUGAUUGUACGUACAUAAAUAUUCUUGCAUCACAUGUUCAUGAAGAAGCAUAUGUUAAUCACCAUCAUUCUUUGAAAGCAAUAGUUGAUUCAGAUAUGAAAAUAUUAAAUAUAAAUGCACGAUACCCAGAUAGAUGCAAGGAAUGAUGCAUAUAUCUGGAGUGCUUCUCCAAUUAAACGUGUCAUGGAACAUUGGUAUAACCAAGGGGAAAAUUUAUUUAAUUGGUAAGCAUU